GAUCAUGGCUCAGGAUGAACGCUAGCGGCAGGCCUAACACAUGCAAGUCGAGGGGCAGCACGGUGUAGCAAUACACUGGUGGCGACCGGCGCACGGGUGCGUAACGCGUAUGCAACCUACCCAUAACAGGGGGAGUAACACUGAGAAAUUGGUACUAAUACCCCAUAACAUCAGGACCGGCAUCGGUUCUGGGUUGAAAACUCCGGUGGUUAUGGAUGGGCAUGCGUUGUAUUAGCUGGUUGG
rnacentral:rRNA from 1 species